GUUGGGUGUGGUGGGCAUGCCUGUAAUCCUAUCAGCUUGGGAGGCUGAGGCAGGAGGACUGCAAGUUCAAAGCCGGCCUCAGCAAUUUAGCGAGACCCUGUCUCAA
rnacentral:sRNA from 1 species